UGCAGUAGAGCAACUGAUUUGUAAUCAGUAGGUCGCGGGUUCGAAUCCUGCAACCGCAC
rnacentral:tRNA from 1 species